rnacentral:tRNA from 1 species
GUUGUCAUGGCCGAGUGGUUGAGGCGAUGGACUUAAAAUCUUUUGGGAUCUUUCCGCGCAGGUUCGAAUCCUGCCGACAUCG